rnacentral:tRNA from 1 species
GGCGGUGUAGCUCAGUUGGUCAGAGCGCACGGUUCAUACCCGUGGUGUCGCAGGUUCGAAUCCUGCCACCGCUACCA